UACGGAGGGUGCAAGCGUUAUCCGGAUUUACUGGGUUUAAAGGGUGUGUAGGCGGGUCUUUAAGUCAGUGGUGAAAUCUCCGAGCUUAACUUGGAAACUGCCAUUGAUACUAUUGAUCUUGAAUUCUGUUGGAGGUGGCGGAAUAUGUCAUGUAGCGGUGAAAUGCAUAGAUAUGACAUAGAACACCAAUUGCGAAGGCAGCUCACUAAGCAGAUAUUGACGCUGAGGCACGAAAGCGUGGGGAGCAAACAGG
rnacentral:rRNA from 1 species